GUUAUAUGGUCAAGCGAAUAAGCGCACAUGGUGGAUGCCUUGGCGGUCAGAGGCGAUGAAGGACGUGGUAGCCUGCGAAAAGUGUCGGGGAGCUGGCAACAAGCUUUGAUCCGGCAAUAUCCGAAUGGGGGAACCCACUGUUUAGGCAGUAUCUUUGAGUAAAUUCAUAGCUCAAGGAGGCGAACCUGGUGAACUGAAAUAUCUAAGUAACCAGAGGAAAAGAAAUCAACAGAGAUUCCCUGAGUAGUGACGAGCGAACGGGGAUUAGCCCUUAAGCUAGUAUGGUUUUAGGAAAGCAAUCUGGGAAGGUUGGCCAUAGAAGGUGAUAGCCCUGUAUCCGAAAGGGCCGUACUAGUGAAGAUGAGUAGGACGGGGCACGUGAAACCUUGUCUGAAUAUGGGGGGUCCAUCCUCCAAGGCUAAAUACUCCUGACCGACCGAUAGUGAACUAGUACCGUGAGGGAAAGGCGAAAAGAACCCCGGAGAGGGGAGUGAAAUAGAACCUGAAACCAUGUGCGUACAAGCAGUAGGAGCCCUUAUGGGUGACUGCGUACCUUUUGUAUAAUGGGUCAGCGACUUACUGUUCGUGGCGAGCUUAACCGUAUAGGGGAGGCGAAGGGAAACCGAGUCUGAUAAGGGCGCAUAGUCGCGGGCAGUAGACCCGAAACCGGGUGAUCUAGUCAUGUCCAGGGUGAAGGUGCCGUAACAGGUACUGGAGGCCCGAACCCACUCCCGUUGCAAAGGUAGGGGAUGAGGCGUGAUUAGGAGUGAAAAGCUAAUCGAACCCGGAGAUAGCUGGUUCUCCUCGAAAGCUAUUUAGGUAGCGCCUCAUAUGUAUCCUCUCGGGGGUAGAGCACUGUUAUGGCUAGGGGGUCAUCGCGACUUGCCAAACCAUUGCAAACUCCGAAUACCGAGAAGGACUGUAUGGGAGACACACGGCGGGUGCUAACGUCCGUCGUGAAAAGGGAAACAACCCAGACCCACAGCUAAGGUCCCAAAUUCAUAGCUAAGUGGAAAACGAUGUGGAAAGGCAUAGACAGCCAGGAGGUUGGCUUAGAAGCAGCCAUCCUUUAAAGAAAGCGUAAUAGCUCACUGGUCGAGUCGGUCUGCGCGGAAGAUUUAACGGGGCUAAGCUAUGAACCGAAGCUUGGGGUGCAUAUUUUUAUAUGCGCGGUAGAGGAGCGUUCCGUAAGCCUGUGAAGGUGAGUUGAGAAGCUUGCUGGAGGUAUCGGAAGUGCGAAUGCUGACAUGAGUAACGAUAAUAUGGGUGAAAAACCCAUACGCCGAAAGCCUAAGGUUUCCUUGCGCAACGUUAAUCGGCGCAGGGUUAGUCGGCCCCUAAGGCGAGGGCGAAAGCCGUAGUCGAUGGGAAGCAGGUUAAUAUUCCUGCACCUCGCGUGAGUGCGAUGGAGGGACGGAGAAGGCUAGGUGUACCGGGCGUUGGUUGUCCCGGGGAAAGGAGGUAGGCUGGGUCCUUAGGAAAAUCCGGGGGUCCUUUUAAAGCCGAGCACCGAGACGAGUCUUUUUUAGAUGAAGUCACUGAUGCCACGCUUCCAGGAAAAGCUUCUAAGCUUCAGCUCACGAAGACCGUACCGUAAACCGACACAGGUAGGUAGGAUGAGAAUUC
rnacentral:rRNA from 1 species